UUGUAGGUUCGAGCCCUACUA
rnacentral:siRNA from 1 species